rnacentral:rRNA from 1 species
UAUGUGAUCGUCUCUCGCAUAUCAAUAAGCGGAGGAAAAGAAACUAACAAGGAUUCCCCUAGUAACGGCGAGUGAAGCGGGAAGAGCUCAAAUUUGAAAUCUUAAAGGGUUUCCCUUUACGAAUUGUAGUUUAAAGAAGUGUUUUCUGUUGAGGUUUUGGUAAAAGUUCUUUGGAAUAGGACAUCAUAGAGGGUGAGAAUCCCGUAUUUGACCUUUACUUUCAACUUUGUGAUACACUUUCAAAGAGUCGGAUUGUUUGGGAAUGCAGUCCAAAAUGGGUGGUAAAUUUCAUCUAAAGCUAAAUAUUGGCGAGAGACCGAUAGCGAACAAGUACCGUGAGGGAAAGAUGAAAAGAACUUUGAAAAGAGAGUUAAACAGUACGUGAAAUUGUCAAAAGGGAAGCGUUUGACACCAGUGUUGUUUUUCUGAAAAUCAAUUAAGGAACUGUUUAUGCUAAGUUGUUUAGACUUUAUCAGCUAACUGUUUAGUUUUGAGCUUUUCUUUAAUGCACUUUUCAGUUAACAAGUCAACAUCAAUUUCUUUUGCUGCUAAAAAAGCUUGAGGAAGGUGGCUUGAGAUUCGUCUUAAGUGUUUAUAGCCUCUUGCCUAUGCAGUCGGAGAGAUUGAGGUCUGCAGCGUAGAUCCUUCGGGGCUAAAUGCAUUUGUGCUAAGUUAUAGCAUUUUAUAGACAACUUGUUGACUAUGAUUUGUCUUGUAGCUUACUCGCUUAUGUUAUUUUACCUACGCUUAGGAUGUUGAGUCGUAGAGCACGCAG